GCUCUUCUUGGAAGAGUUGCGAACGGGUGAGUAACGCGUAGGUAACCUGCCUUGUAGCGGGGGAUAACUAUUGGAAACGAUAGCUAAUACCGCAUAACAAUGGGUGACCCAUGUCAUUCAUUUGAAAGGGGCAACUGCUCCACUACAAGAUGGACCUGCGUUGUAUUAGCUAGUAGGUGAGGUAACGGCUCACCUAGGCGACGAUACAUAGCCGACCUGAGAGGGUGAUCGGCCACACUGGGACUGAGACACGGCCCAGACUCCUACGGGAGGCAGCAGUAGGGAAUCUUCGGCAAUGGGGGCAACCCUGACCGAGCAACGCCGCGUGAGUGAAGAAGGUUUUCGGAUCGUAAAGCUCUGUUGUAAGUCAAGAACGAGUGUGAGAGUGGAAAGUUCACACUGUGACGGUAGCUUACCAGAAAGGGACGGCUAACUACGUGCCAGCAGCCGCGGUAAUACGUAGGUCCCGAGCGUUGUCCGGAUUUAUUGGGCGUAAAGCGAGCGCAGGCGGUUUGAUAAGUCUGAAGUUAAAGGCUGUGGCUCAACCAUAGUUCGCUUUGGAAACUGUCAAACUUGAGUGCAGAAGGGGAGAGUGGAAUUCCAUGUGUAGCGGUGAAAUGCGUAGAUAUAUGGAGGAACACCGGUGGCGAAAGCGGCUCUCUGGUCUGUAACU
rnacentral:rRNA from 1 species